GCAGAUAACACAAACCUCUGUGAAUAAAAUGUGAGCAAGAUAUUACUUUGCUGCAGAGGUAUCUAAAUAGAUUGGGCACUCACAUGGCAAUUGACAUUUCAUGUACUUAAAUUAAUGUUAUGCACAAGCAAUUUACGCCCUAAAUGGAAAUCAAUGGAAGAGAUACUUAAGGUGCGCAAGGAUUUAACCACGCUUGAACAAUGGGUCGCUGACGUAGAAGCUGAAGGCCAGCUGAUGACAACACCUCCAGACCUCUGAUGUAGCCACUACGCGACAGGGUUCAGUCCUGCUAGAACUACGGCGGCAGGUCGAGGACCUUGAUAACUGGGGCCGACAAAACAUCUGCGUCAGAGGCCUCCCUGAAACAGAAGGUGAAUCUCUGCAUGAAAUAUUUACACACCGGUUUACACAAAUCCUGGGAGAAGAGGCCCCAGUUCAAUAUUGAAAGGGCACAUAGAGCUCUCUGACCUCACAGACAAGAUGGCCUAGAGAUGUCAUCUGUUGCCUCCUAUCAUUCCAGGUGAAAGAAGCCAAUAUGCGACCAGCU